UCCCGGGAGUUCUAGUCGCACCCACUAUUAUUGGGUCUAAAACAUCCGUAGCUUGAUUUUUAAGUCUCUUGUGAAACCCUACGUCUCAAGCGGAGGGCUUGCGGGAGAUACUGAAAAGCUAGAGAUCGGCAGACGUAAAGAGUACGCUGGAGGUAGUGGUAAAAUACGUUAAUCUUCGGUGGACUAACAAUGAGCGAAGGCACUUUACGAGGACGAAUCUGACAGUGAGGGAUGAAGGCCAGGGGCGCAAAACGGAUUAGAUACCCGUGUAGUCCUGGCAGUAAACACUGCUCACUAAACAUCGGGCCCUCUUCGGGAGGAUUCGGUGCUGAAGCGAAGGCGAAGAGUGAGCUACCUGGGAAGUAUAGUCUCAAGAUCGAAACUUAAAGGAAUUGGCGGGGAGACAUACAACGAGUGACGCGUGCGGUUCAAUUAGAUUUUACACCGUGAACCUCACCAGGAGCGACAGCAGAAUGAAGGUCAGUCUGAAGGGCUUACCUGACACGCUGAGCGGAGAUGCAUGGCCGACGUCAGCCUGUGCUGUGAAGUGACCGGUUAAAUCCGGUAACAGGCGAGACCCGCGUGUAUAAUUACUACAGAAAUGGGUACAUUAUACAGACUCCCGUGGUAACCCGGAGGAAGGUGCGGGCUACGUUAGGUGAGUACGUCCCUAAUCCCCUGGUCUACACGCGCGCGGCAAUGGUAUGUUCAAUGAGAUGUGACUCCGAAAGGAGAAGCUAACUCCUCAACACAUAUCUCAGUCCAGAUUGUGGGUUGCAACCCACCCACAUGACGUUGGAAUUCGUAGUAAUCGGAUAUUAGCAGUGUCCGGUGAAUAAGUCCCUGUCUCU
rnacentral:rRNA from 1 species